CAGAAGGGGAUUGUGGGGCCGCCUUGGCCGCCGCCGGAGCCGAGCGGGGCGGAAGCGCGCGCUGUGCUGCUGCUCGGGCCCGACCGCGCCGGCCCCCGUACCUCCCGGCCCAGGCUGCGGGCUGCGGUCGGGGCGGUCCCGGGCCCAGGCGCCUGCCGCGGGACGCGCUUCCGCGAAGUCUGGCUCACGGGUUCCCGGAACGGUGCGUGGGAGGCUGAAGAGUGUGGCGGGUUUCGCUUUUUGCCCUACGUUUGCUUUCGUCGGUCCCCGAGGCCCGGGGUGCGACCUCUCCUCUGGGCUUAGUAGACAGACCUGGGCUGGAAGAACGGGCUGCGCGCGGGUGGCUGCGGGCGGGUUUGCGUUUCUUUUAUGCCUCCUUCGGGAACUAUUUUCAAUCCCCCCAAAGCAAAGCCGCUGACCUUGGGGGGCGCAUGGAGAGGUUAAGUGCUUUUGCGGGGGGUAACCCUGACAGUGAGUGGGAGGCUUCUGGUGAUGGGGUAGUCUGGCCUGGCAUGGGGUAGAGGAAAAGCGGGCGUUCCAGUUGGCUCAGGUGCCAGCCCCAGCUCUGCCGUUUGCUGGCCAUGGCUGGUUAGAAUACCAUAGCUGGGACCUUCAGUUUCUCCAAAAUAGGCUGUACCAGCCCGGGGACUCAAAGGGGCAAGUUGUACAGGGUACACGGAAUGGUGAUUUCCCAGCCAAAGGUUAUGACCACCCGUGACCUAUCUAUUGGGGGAAGGGAGAUGAGCCAGCAUGUUCCUUCCUAAAUCACAGGCCCUGUGCAAGAUGCUCAGAGGCCCAUCUGAAGAGGAACCUUGGUAGUCUGGGGCUUUCCCGGACCUUAGGCAGCAGAGAGUCAAGAGUCGUGAGUCGCUGUCUCAGUGGCCCUGAAUAUGUUCUUUCACAGGAAAGCACAGCACUUAGGGUCAUAAGCAAAUAAAUGCAAAUAGCUUUAGUUUGCCAAACUGUAAAGUGGGGAUAAUUAGAUGUUCCUUCACUGACCUGUGGUCCUAGCAUGUGAUUUACAAACCGAGUGAGCCUAAGCAGUACCUUUUGACCACAUCAGGGCAGCAGCUACUUCCUCUAUGGAGUUAGCAUGGGUAGGAAGGGAGAAAAGUCAUGGUGUCAUGAGACACAGACUUCAGAGCUACUUGGAAUCUAGUCCCCCAAACUUCUCCUUUAGCUUAGCUUUGUGCAAAGCAGUUACUGUGUGACAAUUGGUUGGGUGACUUAUCUUGGAAGUUCCCUUGGACUUUACACUAUGGGUUGGUGACUCUGUUCCCGGGGAACUUUCCAGCCCGCGGAUGAACCUACCAUGUUCCUCUAGGCGACCAAGUCUUCCUGAAGUGUUGGGUUCGUGUUAUCGUUACAGACAGGACAGAAGUUGAGGACAUUGAGCAAAUACUUCAAAGAGCCCUGGGCUGGCAGAGAGAGCUCCAGAUAACACCGGCCUGGUGGGAGGGACAACGAUAGAAGUCACUUCUUCCAGACCACCAAUCAGUGCUGUGAACAGCUCCCACACUUCUCGAGGUGUGGGAAGGCCUGAGCUGGACCCAGGGGGGGCUGGAGAGAUGGCUCACCACUUAAGAGCUACUGAUUGCUCUUCCAGAGGUCCUGAGUUCAAUUCCGAGAAACCACUUGAUGGCUCACAACCACCUGUAAUGGGAUCCAGUGCCCUCUUCUGGUGUGUCUGAAGACAGCUACAGUAUAUUCAUAUAUAUAAAAUAGGACCUGGAUUUCGUUUCUAGCACCCAUAUGGUGGCUUACAGUGGCCUAUACCUCCAGUUCCAGGGGUCCAGUGUCUUCUUUUGUGCUUCAUGGGCACCUGAGAGCCGGCGUGUGCACACAUAUGCACGCACUCACACACACACACACACACACACACACACACACACACACACACACACACACACACACACACACACAGAGUACAUCUAGAUACAUUCAGGCACAUGAACAGGUUAGCGGUGAUUGCUAUGGGAACUGUUCCAACUCCAGGAUGCAGAGCGCUCUUCAGACAGCCAGGGUGCCUUGAUUAGCUGGCUUCAUCUUCAUCUCCAUCCAGAAGGCAUAGUUUAAUUUCUAUGCAUUGAGAGGACUAAGAUGUAUAGUGUUCAUCAGACAAGACCCUCCUGUGUCCCCACGAUUUCUGCUUGAUGUGUAUUUUUUAGAAAGAUUUAUUUAUUUUACAAAUAUGAGUACCCUGUCUUCAGACCCACCAGAAGAGGGCAUCAGAUCCCAUUACAGAUGGCUGUGAGCCACCACGUGGUUGCUGGGAAUUGAACUCAGGACCUCUGGAAGAGCAGUCAGUGCUCUUAACCAACUGAGCCAUCUCUCCAGGCCUUGAUAUGUAUUUUUUUUCUUUUCAUUUCCUAUUGAGUUGUUGGCUCCACGGCCAUUAUUCCCUUUUGCAUGCUCUCCGUAAGUGCCCGUAAAUCUCUUUUGUCUAUAGCGUGGUUUCGGCAGGUGACCACUGAUGCAGGAAAUUUUUGCUUUGGAGUGGCUGAGCAUUCAUGGUGCCAAGUCCAUGGGCAUAAUUCAGUCUUGAUUCCACGGGAAACUGAGGACAAAGAACCAAAUGGUCUAUCAGUCCUCCCGUCACCAGGCUGCCAGCUCCUAGGUCAUUUAAGUAAAUAAAUCAGACCUCUCUCUGUUGGGUUCUGACCUGGGGACUCACGGAAGAUCAUCGCCACCUCCUGGAAACUGUGAGCACAGAGAGCUGGAGGAGGGGCUGGGUGAUCAGCGCUUAAGAGCUCUUGCUUAUUUUGCUCUUGGAGUGGACAUGAGUCUCAUUCCUGGUACUCCCAUAGAAGCUCAUAACUGCCUGCAGCUCUUUCUCCCGGCGGUCUGAUGCCCUCUUGUGGCCGUUCAUGCCUCCUGAAUUUAUAGGGACAGGCAACCAUACAUAACACAUAAUUCAAAAUAAAUCCUCUUUUUCUUCUUGUUUUGUUCAGAUAGGAUUUCACUGUGUAACUUAAGCUAUUCUGGAACUACCCCUGUGGACCAGGCUGGCCUCGAACUCAUAGAUCCACCCACCUCUGCCUCCCAAGUGCUAGAAUUAAAGGUGUGUACCACCACUGCCCAGCAAAUUUUAAAAAUAUUAAUAAAAGAAAAUAAAUCUUUAAAAUAUAAACUAAAAAAUUAAAAACCAGAAGGAGCCCAAUUAACACAUCAGAGAUCAUCCCCACUUAAGAAUUUGGGCCAGGGCCAGGCAGUGGUGGUGCAAACCUUUAAUCCCAGCAUUUGGGAAGCAGAGGCAGGCACAUUUCUGAGUUUGAGGCCAGCCUGGUCUACAGAGUGAGUUCCAGGACAGCCAGAGCUACACAGAGAAACCCUGUCUCGAAAAACCAAAAAGUAAAAUAAAACAAAACAAAAUAAAAUAAAAUAGGAUGCUGAAAUGUGGCUCUUCACAGCUGAUGGCUCUGUUGGGGGUUGAGGAGAAGAAGGACCUGGUGCCACUACGAGUUUGACCAUGAGCAUAUAGUAUAUACACAACACAGAUUGAACUUGGGUGUUUGCUGUUGUUUUUGUUUGUUUGCUUUCUUUUUAGGGAGAGGGGAGGCCACAAGGAUCGGGAGGCAAACCUGGGAGGACUGGGAAGUGGGUAUCCUGGGGUGGGGGAGGGUAUGUGAGUCAAUAAAUAAUCAAUAAAUAA